UUUGCGAGCGCAGCACAAUGCAGUCGAGCGGUAACACAGGGAGCUUGCUCCUGGGUGACGAGCGGCGGACGGGUGAGUAAUGUCUGGGAAACUGCCCGAUGGAGGGGGAUAACUACUGGAAACGGUAGCUAAUACCGCAUAAUGUCGCAAGACCAAAGAGGGGGACCUUCGGGCCUCUUGCCAUCGGAUGUGCCCAGAUGGGAUUAGCUAGUAGGUGGGGUAACGGCUCACCUAGGCGACGAUCCCUAGCUGGUCUGAGAGGAUGACCAGCCACACUGGAACUGAGACACGGUCCAGACUCCUACGGGAGGCAGCAGUGGGGAAUAUUGCACAAUGGGCGCAAGCCUGAUGCAGCCAUGCCGCGUGUAUGAAGAAGGCCUUCGGGUUGUAAAGUACUUUCAGCGAGGAGGAAGGCAUUAAGGUUAAUAACCUUGGUGAUUGACGUUACUCGCAGAAGAAGCACCGGCUAACUCCGUGCCAGCAGCCGCGGUAAUACGGAGGGUGCAAGCGUUAAUCGGAAUUACUGGGCGUAAAGCGCACGCAGGCGGUCUGUCAAGUCGGAUGUGAAAUCCCCGGGCUCAACCUGGGAACUGCAUUCGAAACUGGCAGGCUAGAGUCUUGUAGAGGGGGGUAGAAUUCCAGGUGUAGCGGUGAAAUGCGUAGAGAUCUGGAGGAAUACCGGUGGCGAAGGCGGCCCCCUGGACAAAGACUGACGCUCAGGUGCGAAAGCGUGGGGAGCAAACAGGAUUAGAUACCCUGGUAGUCCACGCCGUAAACGAUGUCGAUUUGGAGGUUGUUCCCUUGAGGAGUGGCUUCCGGAGCUAACGCGUUAAAUCGACCGCCUGGGGAGUACGGCCGCAAGGUUAAAACUCAAAUGAAUUGACGGGGGCCCGCACAAGCGGUGGAGCAUGUGGUUUAAUUCGAUGCAACGCGAAGAAACUUUACUACUNCUGACAUCCAGAGAACUUUCCAGAGAUGGAUUGGUGCCUUCGGGAACUCUGAGACAGGUGCUGCAUGGCUGUCGUCAGCUCGUGUUGUGAAAUGUUGGGGUAAGUCCCGCAACGAGCGCACCCCUUAUUCUUUGUUGCCAGCGGUCCGGCGGGAACUCAAAGAAACUGCCAGUAUAAACGUGAGAAGGGGGAAUGAGUCAAGUCUCAUGCCCUAACAGUAGGGUUCAACGUGCUACAUGCCAUUACAAGAAACGACUCCAGAACAGCGACUCAAAAAUGUCUAUCG
rnacentral:rRNA from 1 species